UAUAAUUAGGGUCAAAUCGUAGUAAGGCAUCACACCUCCAGUGGACACACAACAGGCAACAUGCUCCUGUAGGUUUGCGUAGUCACCACUUUGUGAAUUAUCGGCUAUAACGUGGAUAUAUCUCAGAUAUGAUUUCCAUUGGUGCAUCAGAGUGGAACUACAACUCGGAAGUUUGUGAACACAAUAACGGAUACAAAGAAUUCCUACACAAGAUGAUUUCCGAAGAGAAAUUUGUGAAUACAAUACCGGAUACAAAGAAUUCCUACACAGGAUGAUUUCCGAAUAGAAUCCUCGUAAUGGAAGGAUAUUUACUGCUACAAGGGGAAGGAAAACAGAAGAAGGAUUCCGAAGAAGACGGCCCUAGUUUUGUCUUUGGUUAUCUAGCUGUAUGAUUGUAUCUGAUAUAUCAUAAAGCUAGGUUACCAAAGGCAAAAAUGGUGGUCCAAUCCUGCUCUUCAAUUUCAUUGGACGCAUCAGCACUUUUCUUUCCUAACCAACAAUGUUUUCUAUAUAGAUAUUAUAUUAUGUCAUGCUUGAACUGUAUAACUUAACCCUUUUCUAAUGACUGUUCAUUCAUAGCUGUUGUUUUGGGCUUCAAGUUAUUUCUUGGAGGUAUUGCUAUGAAGCCUUCGUUAUGUUGUCUAUAUUUCAUUUUAGUUAUAAUAUUUAAGGGGUAGCGUAAUCACGAUAAAGUUGGACAAUUAUUUAUUCAGCAAUAUGUGAUAUUAUCUUUAGCCAUAUUCUACCCUUGGGCUUCAUCGUUAUGAGGCAUUGAUUGCUUUGGCUGUUUAAGGUAAGUAUUGAUUUGUACAAAUUCAAUGAAUGGCUUCGUUUUAAACUUGAACGCAGAAUUUCAAUAAAAUAUUUUAAUGAUGAUA